rnacentral:misc_RNA from 1 species
GGCGCCUUCCUCAUUUCUUAUUAGAAGUUAAAUUCCAGUACUCGUGAAUAGUUGAAGACAACCUUGAAAAAUAUUUUAAAAGCAAACCAAAAUCACAAGACAACCUAGGAGGAAGUAAUGGACAAUAAAAAGAGAGAAUUAAUCCUGGACAACCAACCUAACUCUCCAAGGAUAAUAUUUCUCCAUAUCCAAGUUGUGUAGA